rnacentral:rRNA from 1 species
GGGGGAAAAUUAAUAAAUUAAAUUUAAUAAAAAAAAUUUUAAUAUUAAAAAGAAAAUGGGGGUUUGAGUAUUUUUAAUAGAAAAAAUUAAUAGUUUUAUAGUUAAAUAUUACUGUAAAGGAAUUUAUAAAUAAGUGAAAUAUAAUUAAUGAAAAAGUAAAUUUAAAUUAUUGUAUCUUGUGUAUCAGAGUUUAUUAAAUAAUAAUAAUUUAUUUAAAUAAAUCUCGAAUUUAAAAGAGUUAAUUAAUUAAAAAAGUUAAUGUUGUAUAAUUAUUUUAAAUAAUUAAUUAGAAAUGAAAUGUUAAUCGUUUUUAAAUAUAUCUAGUUUUUUCAGAAAAAAAUUUAAUUUUAAAUUUAAAUAAUUUUAUAAUUAUUUAAUUAAUUAUAAAAAUUUAAAUUUUAAUAUUUUAGGGGAUAAGCUUUAAAUUAAAAAUUUAUAAUUAAAAAUAUUUAAAAUUAAAAUUUUUAAAAUUUAUAUUGUUUAAAAAUUAUAGUUUAUUAUAAAAAAUUUUAUUAAAAAAUAAAAUUUAAAAUAAAAAAUUUAAAUUUUUAUGAAAAAAUAAUUUAUAAUUUAAUAAAAUUAGAAAUAAUGAUAAAAUUAGUAUAAUAUAAUAAAUUAAAAAAAAAUUAUAAAUAAUUAAAUUAAAGGAAUUCGGCAAAAAUUUAUAUUCACUUGUUUAUCAAAAACAUGUCUUUUUGAUAAUAAUUUAAAGUCUAAUCUGCCCACUGAUAUUAUAUUAAAGGGCUGCAGUAUAUUGACUGUACAAAGGUAGCAUAAUCAUUAGUCUUUUAAUUGAAGACUUGUAUGAAAGAUUUGAUGAAAUAUAAACUGUCUCUAAUUUAUGAUUAGAAAUUAAUUUUUUAGUUAAAAAGCUAAAAUAACAUUAAAAGACGAGAAGACCCUAUAGAGUUUUAUAUUUUAUUUAAUUAAUGUUAAAUAUAUAAUUAAAUAUAUUAAUUAAGUAAAAUAUUGUGUUGGGGUGACAGAAAAAUUUAAUAAACUUUUUUUAAAUUUAGACAUAAAUAAGUGGUUAGUUGAUCCAUUAAUAAUGAUUAAAAGAAAAAAUUACCUUAGGGAUAACAGCGUAAUAUUUUUUUUUAGUACACAUAAAAAAAAAAGUUUGCGACCUCGAUGUUGGAUUAAGAUAAAAUUUAAAUGCAAAAGUUUAAAAUUUUGAUCUGUUCGAUCAUUAAAAUCUUACAUGAUCUGAGUUCAAACCGGUGUAAGCCAGGUUGGUUUCUAUCUUUAAUAAAAAAAAAUAUUUUAGUACGAAAGGAUCAAAUAUUUAAAAUAAUUUUAUAAUAAUGAAUAUUAAUAAUAGUUUA